rnacentral:rRNA from 1 species
AUUGAACGCUGGCGGCAGGCCUAACACAUGCAAGUCGAGCGGUAGAGAGAAGAUUGCUUCUCUUGAGAGCGGCGGACGGGUGAGUAAUGCCUAGGAAUCUGCCUAGUGGUGGGGGAUAACGUUCGGAAACGGACGCUAAUACCGCAUACGUCCUACGGGAGAAAGCGGGGGAUCUUCGGACCCCGCGCCAUUAGAUGAGCCUAGGUCGGAUUAGCUAGUUGGUGAGGUACUGGCUUACCAAGGCGACGAUCCGUAACUGGUCUGAGAUGAUGAUCAGGCACACUGGAACUGAGACACGGUCCAGACUCCUACGGGAGGCAGCAGUGGGGAAUAUUGGACAAUGGGCGAAAGCCUGAUCCAGCCAUGCCGCGUGUGUGAAGAAGGUCUUCGGAUUGUAAAGCACUUUAAGUUGGGAGGAAGUGCAGUAACCUAAUACGUUAUUGUUUUGACGUUACCGACAGAAUAAGCACCGGCUAACUUCGUGCCAGCCGCCGCGGUAACAC